rnacentral:rRNA from 1 species
UGCCAGCCGCCGCGGUAAUACGGAGGGUGCGAGCGUUAAUCGGAAUUACUGGGCGUAAAGCGCACGCAGGCGGUUUGUUAAGCUAGAUGUGAAAGCCCCGGGCUCAACCUGGGAAUUGCAUUCGAUACUGCUUAGCUAGAGUAUGAGAGAGGGUAGUGGAAUUCCGGGUGUAGCGGUGAAAUGCGUAGAUAUCCGGAGGAACAUCAGUGGCGAAGGCGACUUUCUGGCCUAUUCUUGACGCUGAGGCGCGAAAGCUAGGGGAGCGAACGGGAUUAGAUA